UGGGGAAUAUUGCACAAUGGGCGCAAGCCUGAUGCAGCCAUGCCGCGUGUGUGCAGAAGGCCUUCGGGUUGUAAAGCACUUUCAGCGGGGAGGAAGGCGAUAAGGUUAAUAACCUUGUCGAUUGACGUUACCCGCAGAAGAAGCACCGGCUAACUCCGUGCCAGCAGCCGCGGUAAUACGGAGGGUGCAAGCGUUAAUCGGAAUUACUGGGCGUAAAGCGCACGCAGGCGGUCUGUCAAGUCGGAUGUGAAAUCCCCGGGCUUAACCUGGGAACUGCAUUCGAAACUGGCAGGCUAGAGUCUUGUAGAGGGGGGUAGAAUUCCAGGUGUAGCGGUGAAAUGCGUAGAGAUCUGGAGGAAUACCGGUGGCGAAGGCGGCCCCCUGGACAAAGACUGACGCUCAGGUGCGAAAGCGUGGGGAGCAAACAGG
rnacentral:rRNA from 1 species